UACGUAGGGGGCAAGCGUUGUCCGGAAUCAUUGGGCGUAAAGCGCGUGUAGGCGGCCCGGUAAGUCCGCUGUGAAAGUCGGGGGCUCAACCCUCGAAUGCCGGUGGAUACUGUCGGGCUAGAGUGCGGAAGAGGCGAGUGGAAUUCCUGGUGUAGCGGUGAAAUGCGCAGAUAUCAGGAGGAACACCAAUUGCGAAGGCAGCUCGCUGGGACGUAACUGACGCUGAGACGCGAAAGCGUGGGUAGCGAACAGG
rnacentral:rRNA from 1 species